rnacentral:rRNA from 1 species
AGUUUGAUCCUGGCUCAGGACGAACGCUGGCGGCGUGCUUAAUACAUGCAAGUCGAGCGAGGCCUUGGAAUUGGAGUCCUUCGGGAUGAAGAGUCCUUGGCCUAGCGGCGGACGGGUGAGUAACGCGUGGGCAACCUACCCCAAAGUCCGGGAUAACAGUGGGAAACCGCUGCUAAUACCGGAUGGCUUUACCUGAGGGCAUCCUUGGGUAAAGAAAGGUUACGCUUUGGGAUGGGCCCGCGUCCCAUUAGCUAGUUGGUGAGGUAGCGGCUCACCAAGGCGACGAUGGGUAGCCGGCCUGAGAGGGUGAACGGCCACACUGGGACUGAGACACGGCCCAGACUCCUACGGGAGGCAGCAGUAGGGAAUAUUGCGCAAUGGGCGGAAGCCUGACGCAGCGACGCCGCGUGAGCGAAGAAGGCCUUCGGGUCGUAAAGCUCUGUCCUUGGGGAAGAAGGCGAAAGCUUGACGGUACCCAAGAAGAAAGCCCCGGCUAACUACGUGCCAGCAGCCGCGGUAAUACGUAGGGGGCGAGCGUUGUCCGGAAUUACUGGGCGUAGAGGGUGCGUAGGCGGCCUUUUAAGUCAGAUGUGAAAGGCUGCGGCUUAACCGCAGGACUGCACUUGAAACUGGAAGGCUUGAGUGUCGGAGAGGGUAGUGGAAUUCCCAGUGUAGCGGUGAAAUGCGUAGAUAUUGGGAGGAACACCAGUGGCGAAGGCGACUACCUGGACGAUAACUGACGCUGAGGCACGAAAGCUAGGGGAGCAAACAGGAUUAGAUACCCUGGUAGUCCUAGCCGUAAACG